ACCGCCGCGCGACAACAUGAUGCCUGGUAUGGCUGGACCACGUGGUCCCCAAGGAAAGAAUGCUCGCCCUGCUUCCCCUACACUGUUAGACAACACGGGCCACCCUGCCCCCGAUCACCAAACGCAGGGGAUGAUCGGUCGCGGUGGUAAUGUUGUUGGCGGAAUGCAACAA